rnacentral:lncRNA from 1 species
AGGGGUUGUUGCACGGGAGGAGGGCUACAAAACCGUACCAAGCUUGCCCGGAUUGGUGGCCGGAGGAGGAAGUUCCGGCGAAAAAACCGAUUCGGCAGUCGAAGCUUUCGGGCGGCACCGCUCACUCACGGCGGCGCUAGGGCUCCUCUCACCGGUCCAGGGAGGCUGCUGGGUUGGAGGUCGAUCGAUUGGAACCGGUGCGGCGGUCUGGGGCGGCCGGACGGCGGCGGACGGCGGUGGUGAAGUUUCCCGGGUGGAGGGAGAAGAAAUGCGGGUGGGAAGAGAGAAAACGGAAGGGAGAGAGAGAGAAAGGAAGAAGAAAUGGGUUGGGCUCGGCCCAGCCGACCCAACAAGCCUUUUAACCCAAAAUUCCAAAAUUCAACACCCCGAAAAAUAAUACCCGAAUAAAAAUUACCUUUUACUAGCUAAAAUUUACUAUUUUUACCGUCGUCGUAUUUUCCCCAUACGAAUUAUCCUCCGCACAUAAUCGUCCCCGAAACCCCUCUAGGGACCAAUUAAACUAUUUACUCAAUGAUCGGAACGGUAAAAAUUCUUAUUAUAAUCAAGCUAGUAAAUAAGGUAAAAAUAUAAGGGUCGGGAUGUGACAAUAUCGAUCACUAUAUGCUGUGUUAACGUUAACAUCGCCUCACUAAUAUAGGUUUGGAAACUUCCCCUACAAGUAGUUUCUUGUAAGAUGAUAAAUCUGUGGAUUUUCAAUUUUUCUUGGUGUGAGAAGUCAGAAUACUCGGAACAAAAACACCACGGUUUCUGGACUCGAUCAGGUCAACUUCAUUGUCUGAAAAUACAGCAAAUGAAUGUAUUGCUUAGGUAUGAGUAUAUGAAUUUGUGUCAUUUUGCUCAUAUAAUCUAAGGUGUUUUGAGUAUGACAUGCAAAUGACAAGUACUUUUGAAAAACAACAG